rnacentral:rRNA from 1 species
UACGGCGAGUGAAGCGGCAAAAGCUCAAAUUUGAAAUCUAGCACCUUCGGUGUUCGAGUUGUAAUUUGAAGAUGGUAACCUUGGGUUUGGCUCUUGUCUAUGUUCCUUGGAACAGGACGUCAUAGAGGGUGAGAAUCCCGUCUGAUGAGAUGCCCAUUCCUAUGUAAGGUGCUAUCGAAGAGUCGAGUUGUUUGGGAAUGCAGCUCUAAGUGGGUGGUAAAUUCCAUCUAAAGCUAAAUAUUGGCGAGAGACCGAUAGCGAACAAGUACAGUGAUGGAAAGAUGAAAAGAACUUUGAAAAGAGAGUGAAAAAGUACGUGAAAUUGUUGAAAGGGAAGGGCAUUAGAUCAGACUUGGUGUUUUACGAUUAUCUUCUCUUCUUGAGUUGUGCACUCGUAUUUCACUGGGCCAGCAUCGAUUCGGAUGGCAAGAUAAUGGCAGUUGAAUGUGGCUUCACUUCGGUGGAGUGUUAUAGCUUCUGCUGAUAUUGCCUGUCUGGAUCGAGGGCUGCGUCUUUUGACUAGGAUGCUGGCGUAAUGAUCUAAUGCCGCCCGUCUUGAAACACGGACCA